AUUAAGGGCGGCGUUGCGCGCGCCGGUCUGAGCGAGCAAGGUGCGCGAGACAAUAUUCGGAGAACGCGGCCAGCGUGGCAGACGAGGGAGAAGGUUUCGUCCAGGGCCGGGUGGAAGCCAGGGUUCCCGGCUCAGGUUCGCUUCAGGCUCCCACCUAUAAUUAGGCACCACAUCGGCACCUUUGUGCAGCGGUUGGCGAACGUCGCAAGGGCGUUACCAUGGGCCCACCCAGCGUCUCCAGCCCCGUGCCCAAGCCUCGUCGGGGGAACGCCUUACGGCUGCCAGUCCGCUUCGAGCUUGAGGCUUCACCGGCGUUGAUCGUCACGGCCUGGACGACGCUACACCAGCGUCUGUAAUCGUCAACUUCUGCGCAAGUCCCAGAGCAUCGAUACUCCUCGUCUUUUCACCCGGACCCGGUCGGACAUCCACUGCCAACAAGACAGCAACGACCACAACAGUAAAACUCAAAACUACGACGGCGACUACCCGCGCCCCUGAGAGACCCGGAACAGGCCCUGAAUGACCAUAUUGACGACGUGCAUCCUUAGAGGGCUUCGUUUCGUCCUGGCAUUGAUUAUCUACAUCAAAAAAGGACCCGGCAUGACGACAACCACCAACGAAACGACGAUGACUCCAGCACAGCUUGAAACCACCUGGACAAACCUACGGCCUGAAGAG